AGAAUGUGGUGUAAAGGAAACACGUAUAGUUUUGAGCUUUAAAAUGUAGGUUCAACUCCUGCUGUUCUAG
rnacentral:tRNA from 1 species